rnacentral:rRNA from 1 species
UACGUAGGGUGCAAGCGUUGUCCGGAAUUAUUGGGCGUAAAGAGCUCGUAGGCGGUCUGUCGCGUCUGCUGUGAAAUCUCGGGGCUUAACCCUGAGCUUGCAGUGGGUACGGGCAGACUAGAGUGCGGUAGGGGAGACUGGAAUUCCUGGUGUAGCGGUGAAAUGCGCAGAUAUCAGGAGGAACACCGGUGGCGAAGGCGGGUCUCUGGGCCGUAACUGACGCUGAGGAGCGAAAGCAUGGGGAGCGAACAGG